rnacentral:rRNA from 1 species
GCGAAGAACCCUUACCUACUCUUGACAUCCGAAGAAGAACUCAGAGAUGGGUUUGUGCCUUAGGGAGCUUUGAGACAGGUGCUGCAUGGCUGUCGUCAGCUCGUGUUGUGAAAUGUUGGGUUAAGUCCCGCAACGAGCGCAACCCUUAUCCUUUGUUGCCAGCGAUUAGGUCGGGAACUCAAAGGAGACUGCCGGUGAUAAACCGGAGGAAGGUGGGGAUGACGUCAAGUCAUCAUGGCCCUUACGAGUAGGGCUACACACGUGCUACAAUGGCGUAUACAGAGGGUAACCAACCAGCGAUGGGGAGUGAAUCUCAGAAAGUGCGUCUAAGUUCGGAUUGGAGUCUGCAACUCGACUCCAUGAAGUCGGAAUCGCUAGU